rfam:Brassica oleracea var. oleracea cultivar TO1000 chromosome C6, whole genome shotgun sequence
UUCGGAGACAUCAGACUUCUAAUAAAAUUGGAAUGAUAUAGAGAAUAUUAGCAUGGCCUUUUUGUAAGGAUGACAAGACCUGGACACGGAUCGGAUAUCCGGGUUUUU